UUCUAUUCUAGAUCACCAAUCUAGCACCAGUAUGAUGUGGUUUGGUAACACAACAGGAAAACUAAUAAUCUGAAAAGGUUGUCCUGUCUACCUUUGGUGCUCACCUCUCACCCAGCUCUCAUCAGUGGCUCCAAGAAGCUGAAAUAUCCACACAACAGGAAACCAUGUCAGCAGAGCUUAAACUGGGUUGACAGUAAACUACAGAACUUUAAAAUGUUGGUGAUCAGUGGGGAGAUAUCUACCACAAACAUGUGAAGUCUUUCUCUGGCAUAAUAGAUGGAUAAGAACAAUUAUUCCCAAUAGCCAUGAAAGCAGCUGAAACAGGGAUCCUGGAGAAUGAUAUAUGGAUUCCAUAUUCAAGGAUGGCACAGAUAAAGGGGAUGUAUGAAACUGCUCUCUAUAAACAAAGAACAAUCCAACCUUUCUACAGGAACACCAUAGAGAAUAAAUUUUAAUAGCCAUUUUAUAGAGAUGUUAACAAAGAAAAGAAAAUUAUAUAUAGGUUACAUCAUAAGUGAAAACUUGAACAAAGAACACAAAAUAUUUAUACAGGAAAAAAUUCAACUAUUGCAUUAGCCAUAAAACUAGUUUUAUC
rnacentral:lncRNA from 1 species